rnacentral:rRNA from 1 species
UACGUAGGGUGCAAGCGUUAAUCGGAAUUACUGGGCGUAAAGCGUGCGCAGGCGGUUCUAUAAGACAGAUGUGAAAUCCCCGGGCUCAACCUGGGAACUGCAUUUGUGACUGUAGAGCUGGAGUACGGCAGAGGGGGAUGGAAUUCCGCGUGUAGCAGUGAAAUGCGUAGAUAUGCGGAGGAACACCGAUGGCGAAGGCAAUCCCCCUGGGCCUGUACUGACGCUCAUGCACGAAAGCGUGGGGAGCAACAGG